rnacentral:rRNA from 1 species
GGCAGGCUUAACACAUGCAAGUCGAGGGGUAUAGUUCUUCGGAAUUAGAGACCGGCGCACGGGUGCGUAACGCGUAUGCAAUCUACCUUUUACAGAGGGAUAGCCCAGAGAAAUUUGGAUUAAUACCUCAUAGUAUAUAGACCUGGCAUCAGGAUUAUAUUAAAGUCACAACGGUAAAAGAUGAGCAUGCGUCCCAUUAGCUAGUUGGUAAGGUAACGGCUUACCAAGGCUACGAUGGGUAGGGGUCCUGAGAGGGAGAUCCCCCACACUGGUACUGAGACACGGACCAGACUCCUACGGGAGGCAGCAGUGAGGAAUAUUGGACAAUGGGCGCAAGCCUGAUCCAGCCAUGCCGCGUGCAGGAUGACGGUCCUAUGGAUUGUAAACUGCUUUUAUACGAGAAGAAACACUACUUCGUGAAGUAGCUUGACGGUAUCGUAAGAAUAAGGAUCGGCUAACUCCGUGCCAGCAGCCGCGGUAAU